AGAGUUUGAUCAUGGCUCAGAACGAACGCUGGCGGCAGGCCUAACACAUGCAAGUCGAGCGCCCCCUUUCGGGGGGGAGCGGCGCACGGGUGAGUAACGCGUGGGAACCUGCCCUCUGGUGCGGAACAACCCUGGGAAACCGGGGCUGAUGCCGCAUGAACCCUGAGGGGCAAAGAUUUAUCGCCGGAGGAGGGUCCCGCGUCCGAUUAGCUAGUUGGCGGGGUAACGGCCCACCAAGGCGACGAUCGGUAGCUGGUCUGAGAGGACGAUCAGCCACACUGGGACUGAGACACGGCCCAGACUCCUACGGGAGGCAGCAGUGGGGAAUCUUGGACAAUGGGCGCAAGCCUGAUCCAGCCAUGCCGCGUGAGUGAAGAAGGCCUUAGGGUUGUAAAGCUCUUUCGCCCGCGAAGAUAAUGACGGUAGCGGGAGAAGAAGCCCCGGCUAACUCCGUGCCAGCAGCCGCGGUAAUACGUAGGGUGCGAGCGUUAAUCGGCAUU
rnacentral:rRNA from 1 species